UCACAUCAGGUUGAAACAUCGGUUUUCGUAAGAUCACCAAAGUUAAGCAAUGUCGAGCCUGAUCAAUACCUAGAUGAGUGACCGCUUGGGAAUACGA